CAAUAGCGUAUAUUAAAGUUGUUGCAGUUAAAAAGCUCGUAGUUGGAUUUGUGGCGUACGGUGUGUUCCGGGCACUUGUUGUCUGAGUAACCUGCUGUUGCCAUCCUUGGGUGGAACCUGUGUGGCAUUAGGUUGUCGUGCAGGGGAUGCCCAUCAUUUACUGUGAAAAAAUUAGAGUGUUCAAAGCAGGCUUAUGCCGUUGAAUAUAUUAGCAUGGAAUAAUGAGAUAGGACUUUUUUGCUAUUUUGUUGGUUUGCGCAAAGAGGUAAUGAUUAAUAGGGACAGUUGGGGGGAUUCGUAUUCCAUUGUCAGAGGUGAAAUUCUUGGAUUUUUGGAAGACGAACUACUGCGAAAGCAUUUACCAAGGAUGUUUUCAUUAA
rnacentral:rRNA from 1 species